AGAACGAACGCUGGCGGCAGGCCUAACACAUGCAAGUCGAACGCCCCGCAAGGGGAGUGGCAGACGGGUGAGUAACGCGUGGGAACAUACCCUUUGGUUCGGAAUAACUCAGGGAAACUUGAGCUAAUACCGGAUAAGUGCGAGAGCAGAAAGAUUUAUCGCCGAAGGAUUGGCCCGCGUCCGAUUAGCUAGUUGGUGAGGUAACGGCCCACCAAGGCGACGAUCGGUAGCUGGUCUGAGAGGAUGAUCAGCCACAUUGGGACUGAGACACGGCCCAAACUCCUACGGGAGGCAGCAGUGGGGAAUAUUGGACAAUGGGCGAAAGCCUGAUCCAGCCAUGCCGCGUGAGUGAUGAAGGCCCUAGGGUUGUAAAGCUCUUUCGUCAGGGACGAUAAUGACGGUACCUGAAGAAGAAGCCCCGGCUAACUUCGUGCCAGCAGCCGC
rnacentral:rRNA from 1 species